rnacentral:miRNA from 1 species
CGGGACCUUGGACCUCGACACA